rnacentral:rRNA from 1 species
UACGAAGGGGGCUAGCGUUACUCGGAUUGACUGGGCGUAAAGGGCGCGUAGGCGGUUUGUACAGUCAGACGUGAAAUUCCUGGGCUCAACCUGGGGGCUGCGUUUGAUACGUGCAGACUUGAGUUCGGAAGAGGGUCGUGGAAUUCCCAGUGUAGAGGUGAAAUUCGUAGAUAUUGGGAGGAACACCGGUGGCGAAGGCGACCACCUGGACGGAGACUGACACUGAGGCGCGAAAGCGUGGGGAGCAAACAGG